GGCCAGUUAGCUCAGUCAGUAGAGUGUAGCGCUAACAAGGCUAAGGUCACGGUUUCGAUUGCUGUUCGGGCUC
rnacentral:tRNA from 1 species